AACGCACAUUGCGCUCCUUGGCAUUCCGGGGAGCAUGCCUGGCUGAGAACCUUUGAAAUCUCACCACCCUUCGGGGAGGUGGAACUGGGUCAUCCGAGCGAGCUCGGCGAUCCGAAAAGCAUAGGUGGAUCCGGUACUGACCGUUUCGCCCCGAAAGCGUACCAGUAGGUCUUACCUUCGAGCGCUGACAAAGGGUGAUCUCGGCGAGCAUCGGUGAAGCUCCAAACCCCCCCUGCAGGAGAUCUCACGAUCUCUGUUCUGGGUCUCAGAUCAGGCAAGAUCACCCGCUGAACUUAA
rnacentral:misc_RNA from 1 species